ACAGACCCAGAACACAGAUACAGUCGAGC
rnacentral:sRNA from 1 species